CCCCUUCCUGGCAGGCAGCACCCUUAGCGGCGGGGCCUACGGAAAAUCCCAUGAGAGCCGGGCCCUUGCCCUUUGCUCGCCUCCGUUAAGACAUUGGUCUUGGUCUGAAGAGGGCCAGGAGCAGGGUCCCAGGACCCCCCUGUGUGAGGAAACAGUCCCCUCGGGGCCGGGGUGUGGGGGGAGGGCUGCAGAGGAACGGAGCACCGGGCGCCUGGCAUUUUUACUUGGUGAGGUUUUUCCCUUCAGGCCCCAGCCUCGUUCUUUCUUAGAGCUCAUGGUUACGGUUGCCUCCUUGGCAGACAACCCCGGACGUUAAUCAGCCGCCCACAACAGCUCCCCUGUUCUGUCUCGGUGCUCCCGCCUUGCACUGUGCCCUUUGGUUAUCUUCUGUUCUCCUCCGCUGUGUCCGCAGACUCGAACGCUCUCAGCUAUUUGCCCCAAGACUCAGCCUUUGUCUGCAGCUGCUCUGCUGAGUGUUCUCAGAUUGCCUCCCAGCUUCCUGACAGAAUUUCCCGUUUCUUCUCCCAUGUUCUGCAUUUUCCAGGGCUGUCCCUGAGGCUCAAGCGAGAGCAGGACACUUCUCCUACCUUCUGGGCUAAUUCUCAUCUGUGUGUCUUGGGCCCUUGUGAUGGGUGCCAUCGGGCACUUGCUUUCUAAAUGUGCUCUGUGUUCUGGCACGGGCACAGGCCGUGCUUCCUGAGUGCUGGGAGGAGAUUCAUGGCAGGGAAGGUGCUAGAUAUGCAUGCGGGGGACCGUCUGGACUUGGAUUAGCCAGACUGUUCGAGGGGGCUCACCAGUGCCAAACAACACUGCUCCGAAGAUUCAGAGAAAUGGGUAUGUCUGGCUGAUCUCGGCUCAGGAGGAACUUUCUGGUAGGAGCUGGAGAACUCUGAAUAAGGAUUUCACAGAUUUCAUUAGGGAGUUGUUACAGUGCAGGAAAAAACAAGACGUUUUCACAGUUUCAAGAGCAGACUGGGUUUUAAACGAGAGGACAGAGUGUCUUUGUGAGGACUGGGAACAACGGCAUGGCAAGAAUCCGACAGGUGAGAUAACCUGGUGGGGAAAGCCUCGCCCCGACGACGGAACCAGCCUUUUCCUCCACCACAGGCAUUCCUGCUAGAGCCGCCUCAGAGCUUCGAGAGCUUACUCUUUUGUUUGAGUGAAGAUAAAUAAUUUCCUCAUCGAGCAGCUGGGCCCUCAGAUUUGGCACCUCUUCAGAGCAACCACACAUAAAAACAAAGAUCACAAGCAGGCAGAGAGAGAGAGGAGGAA